GCCAUCCUUUUCUUGGGAUAGUGCUACUGUCCAAUGAACGAGUAGUGAGGGCAGUACUGCUAAGGCCUUUUUAAAAAAUAAAAAUAAAUAAAAAGCCAAAGAGAAACACCCAAUUAUUUCAAGCACCUUCUGAACAA